AGAGUUUGAUCAUGGCUCAGAUUGAACGCUGGCGGCAUGCUUUACACAUGCAAGUCGAACGGCAGCACGAGUGCUUGCACUUGGUGGCGAGUGGCGAACGGGUGAGUAAUACAUCGGAACGUGUCCUAAAGUGGGGGAUAACGCAUCGAAAGAUGUGCUAAUACCGCAUAAACUCUACGGAGCAAAGUAGGGGAUCGAAAGACCUUGCGCUUUUGGAGCGGCCGAUAUCUGAUUAGCUAGUUGGUAAGGUAAAAGCUUACCAAGGCGACGAUCAGUAGUUGGUCUGAGAGGACGACCAGCCACACUGGGACUGAGACACGGCCCAGACUCCUACGGGAGGCAGCAGUGGGGAAUUUUGGACAAUGGGCGAAAGCCUGAUCCAGCAAUGCCGCGUGAGUGAAGAAGGCCUUCGGGUUGUAAAGCUCUUUCAAUCGAGAAGAAAAAAUCAUGACUAAUAAUCAUGAUUAAUGACGGUAUCGAUAGAAGAAGCACCGGCUAACUACGUGCCAGCAGCCGCGGUAAUACGUAGGGUGCUAGCGUUAAUCGGAAUUACUGGGCGUAAAGGGUGCGCAGGCGGUUUUGUAAGUCAGAUGUGAAAUCCCCGGGCUUAACCUGGGAAUUGCGUUUGAACUACAAAACUAGAGUGUAGCAGAGGGAGGUGGAAUUUCAUGUGUAGCAGU
rnacentral:rRNA from 1 species